GAGAGAGGCUAAUAAGCUCCGUGAACUGCUAAUUCACACCCCCUAGGUUAAAUUCCCAGGCUCACUCG
rnacentral:tRNA from 1 species